CUCCCUCUAUUUCAACUUUCCUCUUUGGCCUCUGUUCUCUCUCUCCUCAUUCCUCAACCAAGUUCUCCCAAAUCGAUCCCCAACAAACGCAGAUCUGCAAAGCCACGCCGGAAACUCUUGGUCGGACUUCCUUCCCGCUGGCUUGUGAGGAAGGAGGCAGAGAACUGUUGUGACCUUCUUAGACUUCCUUCAAGAUUCAGCUGCAAAUUUUAAACCUGAAAAGGUUGAAGACAUUUGGAACCUCAGAGGGAUAUUAAACACUUCAUGGCAUCGGCACAUGCAGUUAAUAAUGUUGAUGUUCAAGGACAAUAACCACCAACACAAGAUGUAGAUGCAAACACCACAAACAAAAGGCAUAAAACAUCAAAGGUGUGGGAUGAUUUUCAUGAGGUGGACAUCCUCAAUGUUGGGCCCAAGGCAGUAUGCAACCAUUGUAAAGCCAGAUUUGCACGUGGUGGACCAGGAGCAAGCAUAAGCCAUCUAAAGAGGCAUUUAACAAGUUGCUUGAAAAAAAAAUGUCAGAACUAGGGUGGAAGGAUCUUCCUCUUCUACUCCCUCAACUGAAGUUUCACAAGAUUCUGAAUCUGGGUUUGCUCAACUCAUGAGCAUGAUACGUGCAAGGGAAUCUACUUAUUCAGUUAAGUCAGAGCUGAAGUGUUAUUUGAAGAGAGUGUUUAUAUAAGUGAGGAUAAUUCUCAUCUUUCAUUUGAUGCCUUGGAAUGGUGGAAGAACAAUAGCAUGAAGUAUAAGAUUUUAUCAAAGAUGGCAAAAGAUAUAUUAGCAAUACCAGUCUCGACAGUUGCAUCUGAAUCAACAUUUAGUGUUGGAGGAAGAGUCAUUGAUGCUUAUCGGGCAAGUUUGACAGAAAAUAUAGUUCAAGCAUUAAUUUGCAGUGCAGAUUGGUUACGUAAUAAGUAUGGCAUAAAGAAAAAGCAGAAGGAGGAGGCAACAUCGCAAUAUGUUAAAUUGUUGAUAUAAGUAUAUUAAAUUGUUUACUCAGAAUUUGUAGUUUUUUGUUCUUUUGGAUAUGCAGAAUUUGGUACUACUUUAGUUUAUUGGUUAAGUAGGCUUUUUGAAUGAUUUUGUUCUAUAUUAUGUUGUUUGGAUAUACAUUGAAUUUAUGAGUCUUUGUGGAA